GAGAGUAUAGCUCAGUGAUAGAGCAUGUGCUUAGCAUGCAUGAAGUCCUUGGUUCAAUCCCUGGUGACUCA
rnacentral:tRNA from 1 species